rnacentral:rRNA from 1 species
CACAGAGGAGCUUGCUCCUUGGGUGACGAGUGGCGGACGGGUGAGUAAUGUCUGGUAAAACUGCCCGAUGGAGGGGGAUAACUACUGGAAACGGUAGCUAAUACCGCAUAACGUCGCAAGACCAAAGAGGGGGACCUUCGGGCCUCUUGCCAUCGGAUGUGCCCAGAUGGGAUUAGCUAGUAGGUGGGGUAACGGCUCACCUAGGCGACGAUCCCUAGCUGGUCUGAGAGGAUGACCAGCCACACUGGAACUGAGACACGGUCCAGACUCCUACGGGAGGCAGCAGUGGGGAAUAUUGCACAAUGGGCGCAAGCCUGAUGCAGCCAUGCCGCGUGUAUGAAGAAGGCCUUCGGGUUGUAAAGUACUUUCAGCGAGGAGGAAGGCGUUGUGGUUAAUAACCUUAACGAUUGACGUUACUCGCAGAAGAAGCACCGGCUAACUCCGUGCCAGCAGCCGCGGUAAUACGGAGGGUGCAAGCGUUAAUCGGAAUUACUGGGCGUAAAGCGCACGCAGGCGGUCUGUCAAGUCGGAUGUGAAAUCCCCGGGCUCAACCUGGGAACUGCAUCCGAA